rnacentral:lncRNA from 1 species
GUAACACCCAAAUUUUACCCCUUAAUUUUAUUUAUAAAAUAGAUUCUUAAAUUAUUUAAAAGAGAGUGUUACACUACUUCGCAUCAGUUAGUUAAUAAUAAUGCAGCGGAAUUAAGCUUUUAAAAUAAAAAUAGAUCGUCCGAAGAAUUCCAAAUCAACAAAGUUUGAAAAUGAAACGACAUAAUCCAAUUUUUAACAUUCUCAAAGCAAUACAAUAAUUGAAUUGACAUUUAUAGUUCCCCCAUAGGACUUCCUAACAGAGCGACUCAGAGACUGAAGCAAUAAAGUAGAUGGCUCUCUAACGCCGUCGCCGAACUAGGUCUAGUGCUUCUCUCACCUACCUGAAAAUCUACGGUUGCACACCGUAGGGCCAAGCCAGAAAAGGGAAACAACAAGGGGUAAGUAAUACAAUCACAAAGAAUAUCAACCACAAAUGAGCACAAUUAUUAAAAAAACAAUAAGUCAACAAUAUCAACAUCCAUUCCAAUUUUAUAACAUAGAGGAUCACCACCAAUUCCAGUUUUAUAUCAUGGAGGAUCACCACAUAUUCCAGUUUUAUAUCAUCGAGGAUCACCACAUAUUCCAGUUUUAUAUCAUGGAGGAUCAACGUCAAUAGUUCGGCAUCAUUCUACAACAUCAUUGACAACAUCAUUAGGACUCGGCAUGAUUAGACACGUGAAUGAAUACAUAGUCAUGUUCCUAAUUAACAACAUCAGUUAACAACGUCAUUAUUUCAAAAACACGAAUAACAUCAUUACGUCAACAUCAUUAUAGCAACACGGUUCAGCAUCAUUAAUUAACAACAACGGCAACGUCAUGAUUUAGCGACUCAAAUUAUCAAUUUUAAUUCAAUGAACUCAAUUAAUUAGCCUUACUAGACAGCGGCGAAAUAGCCCCUCAUGCUCGUAUGAAUCAGGACCUAUCUAAAGUAAUAGGAACCAUAUUGUAAUUUUAUCCAUAGGUUUCCUCACAUUAUGACAAAUUGACAAGUUUGACCGCACCCACUUUAAAUGCUUCGAUAUAAUCCUCACAACUAGUUCAGCCACUACAUAAAUCAUUCUUAAUAUUAAUCACCAUCCUGUGAUAACAAUUUAAUAUUACAUCUUUGAAUCACCUUUGAAUCACCAACAACACUUGCUUCUAAAAUUAGUGACCAAUCACCAUAACUCCAAAAUCAUUCCGCUUCAAAACCAAACUCUAAUUACAUGUCUCUAAAUGUUGAUGUGAUUAUUCCUACGGGACCCUAACAUCAACAUACAAUAACUACUCACAAGGUAUUUCAAUUUAAAUGAAUUCAAGCAACAUGGACAUCAAGAACAACAGCAACAGUCCCAAAAUUCAAUCGACAUAUAGGGCAUAAAAACUCGAUUCCGAAACAAGCACAAACAACAACAACAACAACAACAACAAACAACAACACGUGGUAAUAAAGAAAAACGGAAAGGAAGGAUAACAAUUAAACCCACACUAUUCAGAAAUUCAGAAACAUAAAUGAAUUGUUAAGCACCCUUACUUGGAAAAACAAUUAUCUUAGGUCAGUUGUGAGUUUUUCUUUUCUCUUCUUUCUCUUCUCCCUCUCGUACGUGUAUCUCUCUUUUCCCCUUGCUCAUCUUUUCUUUCUUUCUCUUGUUUCUUUUUAGCAAAAAGUGGAUAGAUAUUUUUCAAUUUGAUUCUAUCCUAAUCAUAAUCUACUUAUAGGAAUAAUUAGGUGAGAUUUCCUUCCCAUGAAGGAAAAUUAUGUCUUUAUCUUUUUUUUUUUUUGGUCAGGUAGCCUAGUGGCUUAAAUUAUGUCUUUAUCUAUUAAUUGGUUUUUCUUUCUACUAGGCCCAAUUUUAUUAUUUCUACUAUUUUACUAUUCUUUCUUACUCACACCCCCUCUCCACCUAUUAUAUAAUUUCUACACCUCAUGCCUACUCUUUCUUCACUUUUAUUUUCAACUUAUCAUUCUACUCAUUUAUUCAUUAAUUAUUUAAUUACUCAUCACACACAAUAAUUAAAUCAUUAUCAAUAAUCAACUCCUACAAAAAUUACUAAUUAAUUCUAAAUUUGGGGCGUUACAAU